UACGUAGGUGGCAAGCGUUGUUCGGAAUUACUGGGCGUAAAGCGCGCGUAGGCGGCUCUUCAAGUCAGGCGUGAAAGCCCCGGGCUUAACUCGGGAACUGCGCUUGAUACUGUCGAGCUAGAGUGUGGAAGGGGCGAGUGGAAUUCCGUGUGUAGCGGUGAAAUGCGUAGAUAUACGGAGGAACACCAGGGGCGAAGGCGGAUCGCUGGGACGGUACUGACGCUGAGACGCGAAAGCGUGGGGAGCGAACAGG
rnacentral:rRNA from 1 species